CGGCGCCACAAGUGGCAAUCGCGUUUAUUGGGUCUAAAGCGUUCGUAGCCGGUUUAAUAAAUCUUUUGUGAAAUUGUUCUGCUCAACGGAACAGCGUGCAGAAGACACUGUUAAACUUGGAACCGGAAGGGGUUAGAAGUAUUUCAGGGGGAGCGGUAAAAUGUUAUAAUCCCUGAAAGACUACCAAUGGCGAAGGCAUCUAACCAGUACGGAUUCGACGGUGAGGAACGAAGGCCAGGGGAGCGAACCGGAUUAGAUACCCGAGUAGUCC
rnacentral:rRNA from 1 species